UGGGAACGCUCAGGCGCGUGGCAGCGUGUCCUUGUUGAAGAUGCAUCUGGGGGCCUUGCGGAAUUUUCCAUGCUGAUGCCGAUGGUAACGUUCAAGGCACGUGUAUCGUUAUCGGAGGUGGUUCUGGAAGCUUCCUUGCGAGUUUUAGUGGAGGUGGUAAUGGGACUUCUAUUGUUCUGUGGAGCCGUUGUACGUGUAGCACGUGUUGUUUCGUGUUUCUUCCAAUAAAGUAUUUUUGCCUAAUAGUGUGGAGGUAUUCGUGAUGGAGGCUCCUGUGUCUUCUGAUCCAGUCGUGGAAUGUGAGAGGAAGAAGAGGAAGAGGAAGAAAAGGAAGAAUCAGAAGCAUAAACUACGCAAGAGGAAUCCGAAUCGUUUGCGAAGG